rnacentral:tRNA from 1 species
GGAGAGGUGUCCGAGUGGUUUAAGGAGCACGCUUGGAAAGCGUGUGUACGAAAGUACCGCGGGUUCGAAUCCCGCCCUCUCCG